ensembl:lncRNA
AUUUAUUUUAUUUUUCUUGGAAAUGGGUGUGGGGGUGCAGCACUCGUUUUUUCCCGCGGCUUUUCGCUCUCCCGCAGAGCUCUGACCCCUCCGCGGUGCUCUGGAAAGCAAAUGUCUUUUUUGGUUUCGUUUGGAAGCCGGGAUGGAAAAUGAUUUCCAAACACCCCAAAUUAGAAACAGCGCUUUGUUUUGGUGGUGGGGGCGGCGGGAGGGGGGUGGGGGGGGGGGGGGGAGGGGCAGAGUGUGUCAUCCCGCAGCAAUGAGGAGAGCGCCCAGGGAGUGCGGCGCUGUGAUUGAUUUCUGCAGCGCUGCCCCAUAGCGCUGCCCCAAAGGUUUGCACAUGGAGGGUUUGGGUUGGAGCUGCUGGUAAGCGAUGGGAGCGAAUGCUCUGCAGUGCCGGGGGGCACGAGCAGGCAGCGGUUUCUUGUCGGGAUUUUGUUUCAGUGCGUCCUCAUAGCGAUUUCGCUGUGGGUUAUUCUGUUCCCCACAAAAAAAACCAUCGGGUCCUGGGGGAGCUGAGUUGGACUCUUGCAAAAAGGAGCCAGUCCUGCCCGGGACAAGCUUGUCCCUGUCCCUGCAGUUAGAGGACCUAUUGACAAGCCACCAUGGCAGAGGCUUCCUGCUGCCUUCUACAGCCCCAAAUGAGCCCUCAGCCGUGGGCUGUGGGGGUGCCAGGCCAUGUCUGUGGGUGCAGCAGCAGGCAUUGCCAGGAAUCCCAGACAAACGGUGCAUUUUAAGAAAUCGCAGGGGACGCUCCAUGCAUCCACGAGCAGUGGCUGCACAGGGGGGAGAAACCUUCACCCUCUGUGUUUUCCCCCCGUGGGGCAUCUCAGCUCACGCACCCAUAGGCACAGAUGGGUGGCCAUGGGCCGGCUGCCCCCCUCAGCUCAGGCUGCCCAAUGCCCACCACGGCCUGGGGCACCUCCAGGGACGGUGAUCGCCACGUCCUGAUGAUGUUGGAGCCACGUGGGCUGGGUCUGCUCCCUGCAAGCUGGUGCUUGAAGAAUGGAGCAGCGUUACACCUCGGUCCUUCUGCCCUGCUCCUUCCUCUCUUCCACCUCUCCCCCUUCUUUCUUUCUUUUUCCCAGCCCCCCCCCCCCAUCGAGGGAAACGCUUCGUCUAAUUAGCAAAACAUGUCAAAGAAAAAUGAUUAAUGUCCCGGGAGGAGAUUUAGCCGCCUUUGUGCCCGGGUAGCCUGACUUCUGCUCUUAAAGGUUCUAUUAAAAGAUAAGGCAGCUCGUGACGGGCAAGCAAAGCAAAGCGUGCGCUCUGCCCGGUGCCGUGGGGUGGGAGGAGGGGGGAUGCAGAUCGGGGUCACCGGGGCUCGUGUUUCUGUGCCUCUGCGUGUGACCGUCACCGUGGUGUCGGGCCUUGGCAGGGGGAAAGGCGUAAGCUCUGGCUGAAUGCCUCCUUUAUUCUUCCAGGGCAGGUAACUCAAUCCUGCUGGCCGGGCUUUGAGCGUUGCUGUGAUUGAGGGUGUUUGCACGGCGUGAUGCUGCGGGAAGGGGGAGCGGUUUGGGGAGGGGAUGCUCAGGGUGGGCGCCCCAAAUCGGGGUCAGAUCCUGCAGCGGGGUGGUGAGGGGACAGCCAGGUCCCCAUCCCAGCCCUCUGCCACGAAGCCCAGCACAUUCACACUGAAACCUUUGCAACGGCCUCUUGCAAAACUCUGUGCCCGCUGCAGGGCGGUUGUUGCAGACACCCGUGGACCAGAGACGGAGCAUCACUGCACCCCAGGAUGUGCCCAACUCUCAGCAGAGCUCUAGGAGAUUCAACCGCAGCAUUCUUUGCCAUUAUUAUCACAUAAACCACGAGAAACUCCCAAACCAGCAACUGGAGGCAUCUGUGUGUCAGUGGGCGCGGUACAAAAGCCGUCGUUAGGACACGGCAUUCCAGCUCCGACCAGAGGGGACGGUUUUGUCUAUCGCUGCUGGGAUCGUCUUGAAGGAAAUCAUAAUUAGGAGCCGGGCGCUGCUGGCUGGAAGGCUUUGUUGGGCACAGGGGCUCUGCUGGAGGAGCUGCGGGUGCCGUGGGGCUGUGCAGAGGGGGUCUGUGGGAGGGGAGGGGGGGCGAACAGCCCUGGGAGAGCCAUGGAGCGGCCAGGGGUCAGAGGGGUUGCAGUGGGUGUGGGGACCCUCCUGCAGCCCAUGGGGCCUGUGGGGCUUGGGGCGAGACGGUUUCUGCCCCAACAGGUGUUGUUUUAGCAUCAUUUAGGUACCCAGCGUGGGCUGCUGUGGUGCUUUGGUGCGUGCCCAUAGGGUAAGGGAACCAGAAGACCUCCUGGGUGUGGGGAACGCUCCUGCAGUGUGCUUUUCCCAAAGGUUUCUUGGCACUUGGCUUCUGGACCCAGCGGCCCUACAUCAGGCGAUGCGGGGAUGCCAAGGAUGGGCUCAGCUCAGGGCAAGCAGCCCCUGUGGUCACCGCCUUGCCCACUGAGGACAUUGCUUUGCUGGCUGCUCCGUCCCCACCUGUGUGACACCUGAGCUGGGCGGCAGCUGUGGGUUCAGCCCCAGCAGCCCACGUCCCUGUGGGCAGGUCUGUGCUUGUUGCUUUGGGGUACUUUUGGGGACAGGUUUUGCUUCCCAUCUCCCUUUCGCUCGGGUCAGAAGAAGCGUUUGUGAGCCGCACUGUGGGGAGGUAGAUGGGCUCCCCGUGCUUUCAGAUGGCGAAGUUUGGGGUGCACACACAGCACUGACAGCCACACGGGGACAUCUGCAGGGGAAGGGACAGCCCGGGGCAGCAGUGCUGUCAGUGCUCGGAUCUCUUCUUUUGGGGACAUGGCCCUCGGUGCGGCACAAAGCCGGACCCCACGCCUGUCCCCAUCCCCUGCAGCUCUGCAUUUCCAGCUCCCCAGGGCUCCGCCGGCUGCUGCGCAAAGCAGAGAGGAGAGGUGAAUUUUAAGAAGGACGGAGCAAAGGCGCACAGCUCUGCGGUGAACCACUCAACUUCUCCCCCUGCGCCUCCCAUUGAGUCGAUGCUUCGGGACCUUCAAACCUGAGCCGUUCACAUCUCCUCACCGUUCCUUCCCCACGGAUGUUUUCCGUGUUCUGAUGUUUGGUGUGCACACAGAAGGAGCUGCGCUCAGCUCGCCGUGCUGGUGCGGAUUGCCUCUCACAGCUCUGCCUGGACACAGGCUGUGCUAGACGCACACAGCGAGGUGUGGGUUUGGGGUAUUUCCCAUGCGUUUCUCUGCUAAACCACCACAUCUGUCCCUCCAAAAGCCGUGGCUGCCUCCUGCUCGCCCCACAGCCCAGUUCUGGUUAGGGCUGGCGGGCACAAAUCACAGCCCCGGGACUCACGAUCCGCUCAGAGCAUCCCCGUGCCAGCAUCUGUUCUGUGCUUUUUCUCAUGACUUUGCACUUAGAAAAAAAGAAAAGGAAAAAAAAAAAAGCUUUUUAUUGGGUAAAAGGGGAGGAAAAAAAAAAACAACAACAAAAAAAAAGGAGAAUCAAACAGCCCCAGAACCCCGCAGCUGGGAUUGAUGGAGAACGCCAUCCCACACUGCUGGGAAUCCCACAUCCCGUCUGCCCCCCACACCGGGCUGCCCCCAAAGAGCGGGGUGUGGAGGACCCCCCUCUGUCUGUAGGGCUGCGUCAGACAUCCCCUUUUGCCUUCC